rnacentral:lncRNA from 7 species
AUGCAAGAGAAGAUGGCGCUGAGCUGGAAGAGUGUGAUGGAACUUAAGAUAUUUGGACAGCCCCAGCCACAAGAGAUGAAGCUUAAUUUCCCAUGUAUGGAAACCUCCCUUCUUGCCCAUUGCUGCAGAAGUCACUAUACUAAGUUUCCAAAAUAUAAUGGGAGCCUAUUCAGACAUCAAGGUCCUGGUAACUUGAAUAUGUUGGUGGUGGGAAUUCUGGACACAUCACUCAAAGUUGGGAAAGAUCCUGUUCUUAUUCAUAUUUUUCCCAGAUAUAGAGGUGUACAGAUAAAAACAAAAACAACAACAAAAGAAACUGCUGUUACAAACUGCCUGCCCUCUGAAGUCAUUACAGCUCAGUGCUCGGCCAUGCAGAGCGAUCCCAAACGGGGCAUCAAGGGACACAGCCCCACAAAGCUGCAGGUGGAGCAGAACUCGCUGCCACUGCUUUCCAUAUGUUCCUUCCCAUGGGGGCCUGACUGGACCUCGACCUGAGGAGGAAGCAGAAUGGAAACUUAAUGAAGAAGUGAGUCCCACCCCUCAGGAAAGUCUUUUUAUGCAUGGUUCUCCCAAGACCAAUUGUGGCUGGAAGGAUUCCCUUUUAGAUUUGGGCAUAUAAACUCCAACAGAAGCCUGCUAGCUGAUAUAAUGCUUAAACAAG